rnacentral:rRNA from 1 species
UACGGGGGGGGCAAGCGUUGUUCGGAAUUACUGGGCGUAAAGGGCUCGUAGGCGGCCAACUAAGUCAGACGUGAAAUCCCUCGGCUUAACCGGGGAACUGCGUCUGAUACUGGAUGGCUUGAGUUUGGGAGAGGGACGCGGAAUUCCAGGUGUAGCGGUGAAAUGCGUAGAUAUCUGGAGGAACACCGGUGGCGAAGGCGGCGUCCUGGACCAGCACUGACGCUGAGGAGCGAAAGCCAGGGGAGCAAACGGG